AAAGCAGGCUAACGCUUGAAUACAUUAGCAUGGAAUAAUGAAUAGGACGUUCGAUCUUAUUUUGUUGGUUUCUAAGAUUGACGUAAUGAUUAAUAGGGAUAGUUGGGGGCAUUAGUAUUCAAUUGUCAGAGGUGAAAUUCUUUGGAUUUAUUGAAGACUAACUACUGCGAAAAGCAUUUUGCCAAGGAUGUUUUCAUUAAUCAAGAACGAAAGUUAGGGGAUCGAAGACGAUCAGAUACCGUCGUAGUCUUAACCAUAAACUAUGCCGACUAGGGAUCGGAUGAUGUUAAUUUUUUAAUGACUCAUUCGGCGCCUUAC
rnacentral:rRNA from 1 species